rnacentral:rRNA from 1 species
UUCGUAGGCGGUAGGCGGCAAGUUGGGAGUGAAAUCUCUGGGCUUAACCCAGAGGCUGCUUCCAAAACUGCUGUGCUUGAGUGUGGGAGAGGCGCGUGGAAUUGCAGGUGUAGCGGUGAAAUGCGUAGAUAUCUGCAGGAACACCCGUGGCGAAAGCGGCGCGCUGGACCACAACUGACGCUGAGGAACGAAAGCUAGGGGAGCAAACAGGAUUAGAUACCCUGGUAGUCCUAGCCCUAAACGAUCAGGACUUGGGGUGCCGCCCGUUCGGGCGUCGUCCCGGAGCUAACGCGUUAAGUCCUGCACCUGGGGAGUACGGUCGCAAGACUGAA